rnacentral:sRNA from 1 species
AGCGGGUCGCCGCGUGCCGGC